UUAGUGUGAACAACCCAAAAACCAUCUAUACAUUUUCGUUUUCCCUCCUUCCCAAUUUCAUUUUCGUUUUCCCUCUCACCCUUCCAAAACUUCCCUCUUUUCUUACCCUAAAUCCGCAUAAGCCCCUUUUCCCUUCAUUUUCAUCUCCCACCAAAGUUAUGACAAUGAAACCUCCUCCCCUAUGAGCAGGUGGCUGACGAACAAAGUUGGUUUUCAACCCUAACAUAUGGUGAUCGACUCAUAAAUCCACAUUCAACAGGGAGCCAGGGUCUAGGUAUGUCCUGUAUGUCCUUAUGUGAGAUUACCCUAUUGAAGUUUGGAGAAACUAGUGCCCGAAUACAGAGGGUUAUCAAUAUUGAGGUUAUACUUAAGGCGCAUGAUUUUGUUUUUUUGUCAAACAUGUUUGUGAACUUGUUUAUUUUCCUUUUCUAUCGAGACAUUUUGGUAUAACUGAAUUGCCCGUAAUGAACACUUGUGACUUGCAGCCAUACAUACUUACAAAUUCUCACAUAAGAAGUUGUAUUGUAUGACAAUCCGUUUACCCAUUGUUGGGAUUACAAGUAAUUAGACCUAUUCAGCCCUUGACGACUGCCUUCUGUCACAUGGAUCCAUGCCAAGAAUGCGCUUAACGAACAACAGGUGACCUAUGGCCUGGAUCCGAGGGUGGUGCAAUAACUGCCUGGCCAUGGGAAACUCUAGAAAAGGCUUUCUUAUUGCCAAAAGAAGAAAAAAACUUGGCAUAUCGGGACACUGAGAAAUCAUACAUUGAUCUCAAGAACCAAGUUGCUACGAAUGGCAUAUCUUGUAGCAUACUAUAGAUAAGGAUGCACUUCAUGUCAAACUGGCUGAUGAAUCAGUUUGUAUAGGGGAAGCUCCUAGUAAUCAGUCGUACUUGUUAAUACCUAAUGUCCUCUCUGCUGCUAUCAGUCGUAAGAUACUGUUGGGAAUUAGGAGGGCUCUAUGAUCACCUUAUCGAGAUAUAGCCAGCUAAGAAUGAGGCAACCAACUUUAAUUAAUGUUACUUGUACUUUUAUUUCAAUUAUCAAAUUCAAGUUCAAAAAUGCUCUCUAUUUUGUUUCUCAAUAGUUUAUUAUUAUUUUUUUCA